UGGGUAGGGGAGCGUUCUGUAAGCCUGUGAAGGUGGCCUGUGAGGGUUGCUGGAGGUAUCAGAAGUGCGAAUGCUGACAUAAGUAACGAUAAAGCGGGUGAAAAGCCCGCUCGCCGGAAGACCAAGGGUUCCUGUCCAACGUUAAUCGGGGCAGGGUGAGUCGACCCCUAAGGCGAGGCCGAAAGGCGUAGUCGAUGGGAAACGGGUUAAUAUUCCCGUACUUGGUGUUACUGCGAAGGGGGGACGGAGAAGGCUAUGUUGGCCGGGCGACGGUUGUCCCGGUUUAAGCGUGUAGGUGUGUGUUCCAGGUAAAUCCGGUUCACUUUAACACUGAGGCGUGACGACGAGGCACUACGGUGCUGAAGCAACAAAUGCCCUGCUUCCAGGAAAAGCCUCUAAGCAUCAGGUAACAUCAAAUCGUACCCCAAACCGACACAGGUGGUCAGGUAGAGAAUACCAAGGCGCUUGAGAGAACUCGGGUGAAGGAACUAGGCAAAAUGGUGCCGUAACUUCGGGAGAAGGCACGCUGACACGUAGGUGAAGUGAUUUACUCAUGGAGCUGAAGUCAGUCGAAGAUACCAGCUGGCUGCAACUGUUUAUUAAAAACACAGCACUGUGCAAACACGAAAGUGGACGUAUACGGUGUGACGCCUGCCCGGUGCCGGAAGGUUAAUUGAUGGGGUCAGCGCAAGCGAAGCUCCUGAUCGAAGCCCCGGUAAACGGCGGCCGUAACUAUAACGGUCCUAAGGUAGCGAAAUUCCUUGUCGGGUAAGUUCCGACCUGCACGAAUGGCGUAAUGAUGGCCAGGCUGUCUCCACCCGAGACUCAGUGAAAUUGAACUCGCUGUGAAGAUGCAGUGUACCCGCGGCAAGACGGAAAGACCCCGUGAACCUUUACUAUAGCUUGACACUGAACAUUGAGCCUUGAUGUGUAGGAUAGGUGGGAGGCUUUGAAGCGUGGACGCCAGUCUGCGUGGAGCCGACCUUGAAAUACCACCCUUUAAUGUUUGAUGUUCUAACGUGGACCCGUUACCCGGGUUGCGGACAGUGUCUGGUGGGUAGUUUGACUGGGGCGGUCUCCUCCUAAAGAGUAACGGAGGAGCACGAAGGUUGGCUAAUCCUGGUCGGACAUCAGGAGGUUAGUGCAAUGGCAUAAGCCAGCUUGACUGCGAGCGUGACGGCGCGAGCAGGUGCGAAAGCAGGUCAUAGUGAUCCGGUGGUUCUGAAUGGAAGGGCCAUCGCUCAACGGAUAAAAGGUACUCCGGGGAUAACAGGCUGAUACCGCCCAAGAGUUCAUAUCGACGGCGGUGUUUGGCACCUCGAUGUCGGCUCAUCACAUCCUGGGGCUGAAGUAGGUCCCAAGGGUAUGGCUGUUCGCCAUUUAAAGUGGUACGCGAGCUGGGUUUAGAACGUCGUGAGACAGUUCGGUCCCUAUCUGCCGUGGGCGCUGGAGAACUGAGGGGGGCUGCUCCUAGUACGAGAGGACCGGAGUGGACGCAUCACUGGUGUUCGGGUUGUCAUGCCAAUGGCACUGCCCGGUAGCUAAAUGCGGAAGAGAUAAGUGCUGAAAGCAUCUAAGCACGAAACUUGCCCCGAGAUGAGUUCU
rnacentral:rRNA from 1 species